UGGAACCCACCCAUUGUUUGAAAAGUCAAAAAGGGUGGGCACCAAAAGUAGAAAGUAAAAUUGGUUGGCAAGUUGGGUUAAAAGUUGGCAUGGGAUAAUUGCAAUUUUGGUCCCUAAUUGUAUAGGGACAUUGCAAGUUGAUCCUUGAACCUCAACUAUAAAUAGGCCUAACCAUUUCUUACUUUCUUCAUCCCACAUUUGCCAUUCUCUACUUAAGGCAUUGUUCUCUCUCCCUAUUUGUAAAAGUUUCACUUGUAUUUUGGAGUGAAAUAUAUUUGGUAGUGCCCGAGGACGUAGGCAAGAUUUGCCGAACCUCGUUAAAAUUCUAGUGUUCUUUAUUAUUUAUUUUGCAUAUUUUGUGAAUGUGAUUGUAGUGAUUUAUUGUGCUAUUAAAUUAUGAUAGAGGGAUAUUCUGGCUAGGAAAGACUUGGUACUUAAGUGAUCCUCGUGAUCCACCUCUCUUUCCUGGGAAUUGAACUUAGUGUGAUUUUUCAGUACAAUAUUUUUACUCUUUCACACGCUUCCGCGCAACAAUUGGUACCAGAGCCAGAUUCGUACUUGGGGAAUACGACCAUUUACGGCACUAUUCACGUAUACAACACUAUUCACGUAUACGAUACUAUUUACGUAUACAGUACUAUUCAUGUAUACAGUAGUUGGGAUUGAGGAGAAAAAUGGCAGCAGCAUCAUCAUCAGCAAGGACUACUGUGACAAAUGCAAAAUUUGAAGUAGAGAAAUUUGACGGUACCAAUAAUUUUGGUAUGUAACAAUGUGAGAUCCUGGAUGUCUUAUGUCAGCAAGAGCUAGAUAUAUCCCUUGAAGAAAAACCUGACAAGAUGGAUGACAAGGAGUGGGCCAAGAUCAAUAGACAGGCGUGUGGUACAAUCCGCCUAUGUUUGGCCAAAGAGCAGAAGUACUCUGUCAUGAGGGAGACAUCAGCGAAGAAGUUAUGGGAUACACUUGAAGAAAAGUUUCUAACGAAAAGUCUUGAAAAUAGGCUUUAUAUGAAAAAGAAACUUUAUCGAUUCACGUAUGCACCCGGUAUGUCGAUGAAUGACCAUGUGAACUCAUUCAAUAAAAUUUUAGCAGACUUGCUAAAUUUGGAUGAGAAAUUUGAAGAUGAAGACAAGGCAUUAUUGUUGUUGAAUUCCCUUCCUGAUGAAUAUGAUCAUCUUACCACCACAUUGCUUCAUGGGAAGGACACGAUUACAUUUGAUGCAGUCUAUAGUGCGUUGUAUAGAUCUGAGACUCGAAAGAAAGAUAAAAGAGAUCACAGAGAUACAACCGCAGAAGUCUUAACAGUAAGAGGUCGUUCACACAGCAGCAAAUCUGGUAGAAGGGGAAAGUCCAAAGGGAGACCCGCCAAAGAUGAAUGUGCCUUUUUCCGUGAAAAAGUUCAUUGGAAAAAGAAUUGUCCUAAGCUACAAAAGGGCAAGGCUAUUUCUAAUGCAUGUGUAGCGGAGCAUGAUGAGGAGUCAGACUUUAGCUUGGUUGGCAUGGCAAUGGCAUGUCAAAUGGAUGAGUGGAUUUUGGAUUCAGGAUGUACUUACCAUAUGUGUCCUAAUAAGGACUGGUUUUCUAGUCUUAAAGAGCUAGAAUAUGGAAUUGUUCUUAUGGGCAAUGAUAGUGCUUGUAAGACAAUGGGAGUGGGUACAGUCCAAUUGAAGAAUCACGACGGCUCAAUCCAAGUCUUGACAGAUGUUCGCUACGUACCUAGCCUGAAGAAAAAUCUCAUCUCAUUAGGGGCCCUAGAAUCUAAAGGGCUCGCAAUCACUUUGAGAGAUGGAUUACUAAAAGUAGUAGCUGGGCAAUUGACGGUGAUGAAAGGCACAAGAAGAAAUAACUUGUAUUUUUUAAAUGAAAGUACAGUUAUUGGAUCAACAUCAACAGUUUCUACAAAAGAUGUAGAUUCUGAGGCUACCAAAUUAUGGCAUAUGCGAUUGGGACAUGCUGGUGAAAAAGCUUUGCAGACUUUGGCGAAGCAAGGCUUGUUGAAAGGUGCAAAUUCUUGCAAAUUGGAAUUCUGUGACCAUUGUGUUUUGGGCAAGCAGACGAGAGUAAAAUUUGGUCCAGCAAUUCACAAUACGAAAGGAAUUCUGGACUACGUUCACAGUGAUGUGUGGGGACCUACCAAAGUGGCUUCUUUGGGAGGUAUGCACUAUUUUGUUACUUUUGUUGAUGAUUAUUCAAGAAAAGUAUGGGUGUAUCUAAUGAAAAGAAAAAGUGAAGUUUUGGAUGCAUUUCUAAAAUGGAAGAAGAUAGUGGAGACUCAGACUGGUCGAAAGGUCAAACGACUUCGAUCAGAUAAUGGCACUGAGUACAAAAAUGAUCCAUUUCUACAAGUAUGUCAAGAUGAGGGCAUUGUGUGACACUUCACUGUUCGGAAUACGCCACAGUAGAAUGGGGUGGCAGAACGCAUGAAUCGAACUAUACUGGAGAAAGUUUGAUGUAUGUUGUCCAAUGCUGGAUUGGGCAAGGAAUUUUGGGCUGAGGCAGUUACAUAUGCGUGCCAUCUAAUUAACCGUCUGCCAUCAGCUGCAAUAAAUGGAAAAACUCCUAUGGAGAUGUGGACUGGUAAAUCUGCUACUGAUUAUGAUUCUUUACAUGUAUUUGGUUCUACUGCAUAUUAUCAUGUAAAAGAAUCUAAGUUAGACCCAAGGGCAAAGAAAGCAUUAUUCUUGGGUAUAACUGAUGGAGUAAAAGGAUACCAUCUCUGGUGUCCUAAUACAAGGAAUAUUGUUUUCAGUAGAGAUGUGACUUUUGAUGAAUCAACCAUUUUAAAGUACAAGGAUUCACAAAAGGAUGACAAAACCAGUAGUACUUUACAGCAGGUGGAGCUUGAAAAGGUUAACGAUGAUCCAGCUAAUAUUGAAGGGACAAAUGGUGAAGAGGUUCCUACCCAAGAACCUCUACAGCAACAAGAUUCAAUUGCAUAUAGAAGGCCAAGAAGAGAGAUUCGUAAGCCUGCUCGCUUUGAUGAUAUAGUGGCCUAUGCACUUUCAAUUGCAGAUGAUGAUGUUCCUUCUACUUACACAGAAGUAAUAAGUAACCCUGAUGGUGUAAAGUGGAAGCAAGCAAUGAAUGAAAAAAUGCAGUCUCUUCAUAAAAAUAAGACCUGGGAGUUGGUGACACUACCCAAGGGAAAGAAGGUAAUUGGAUGCAAAUGGGUAUAUGCAAAGAAGGAAGGAUUUCCUGAUAAAAAUGAAAUUCGAUACAAGGCUAGAUUGGUAGCAAAGGGUUACGCUCAGAAAGAAGGAAUAAACUACAAUGAAGUGUUUUCUCCAGUUGUGAAGCAUUCGUCUAUUCGGAUUUUGCUAGCCUUGGUUGCGCAAUAUGAUCUUGAACUAGUUCAGCUUGAUGUGAAGACCGCGUUUUUACACGGUGAUUUGGAAGAGGAAAUCUAUAUGACUCAGCCAGAUGGAUUCAAGGUUGCUGGAAAAGAAAAUUGGAUUUGCAAACUGACAAAGUCGCUUUAUGGAUUAAAGCAAUCUCCGAGGCAGUGGUACAAGCGAUUUGAUCAGUUCAUGAAAGGGCAAAGGUACACAAGAAGCAAAUUUGAUCAUUGUGUGUAUUUUCAAAAGCUACAAGAUGGAACUUUCAUAUACUUGCUCUUAUAUGUUGAUGAUAUGCUUAUAGUAUCUAAGAGCAGAGUUGAGAUUGAAAGAUUGAAGACUCAACUCAAUCUCGAGUUUGAGAUGAAAGAUCUAGGAGAAGCUAAAAAUAUUCUCGGCAUGGAAAUAUGGAGAGAUAGAGCUCAUGAUAGAGUUAGCUUGUCUCAGAAUCAGUAUUUGAAGAAGGUACUACAGCAUUUUGGCAUGAACGAGCAGACAAAACCUGUAAGUACCCCGUUGGCUUCUCAUUUCAAGCUUUCUGCACAACUAUCUCCUUCGACGAAUACGGAACGAGAAUACAUGUUGCAAGUUCCGUAUUCUAAUGUAGUGGGUAGCUUGAUGUAUGCAAUGGUGUGUACAAGACCCGACAUUUCACAGGCAGUUAGUAUAGUGUGCAGGUAUAUGCAUAAUCCUGGAAAAGGACAUUGGCAAGCUGUGAAAUGGAUUCUACGGUAUAUUCAGAAGACCGUAGAUGUUGGAUUACUGUUCAAGCAGGAUAAUACACUUGGUAAAGCUGUUAUUGGGUACGUUGAUUCUGACUAUGCCGGUGAUUUGGACAAGCGAAGAUCAACCACCGGUUAUGUGUUUACACUUACUGGAGGACCAAUAAGUUAGAAGUGUACACUACAGUCUACAGUUGCGUUGUCAACCACAGAAGUCGAGUACAUGGCUGUAACAGAGGCUGUAAAGGAGACUAUUUGGUUACAAGGUAUGGCUAAAACCUUGGGGUUGGUUCAGGAGCAUAUUAACGUGUAUUGUGAUAGUCAAAGUGCUAUUCAUUUAGCAAAGAAUCAAGUCUAUCAUGCACGUACAAAGCAUAUCGACGUACGAUUCCAUUUUGUGCGGGAAAUUAUUGAAGAAGGGAAAAUUUGUCUUCAGAAGAUCAAGACUGCAGAUAAUCCCGCAGAUAUGAUGACCAAGGUGGUAACAGCAACCAAGUUCGAACAUUGUUUGAACUUGAUCAAUAUCCUGCAAGUUUAACAGUUGAAGAAGGCACUCUCAAGUAUUGUUGUCAAAGGCAGAAAGAAUUAUGUGAAGAUAAGAUUAUCCUAAUCAAAUCUUAAAGGUGGAGAUUAUUGGAACCCACCCAUUGUUUGAAAAGUCAAAAAGGGUGGGCACCGAAAGUAGAAAGUAAAAUUGGUUGGCAAGUUGGGUUAAAAGUUGGCAUGGGAUAAUUGCAAUUUUGGUCCCUAAUUGUAUAGGGACAUUGCAAGUUGAUCUUUGAACCUCAACUAUAAAUAGGCCUAACCAUUUCUUACUUUCUUCAUCCACAUUUGCUAUUCUCUACUUAAGGCAUUGUUCUCUCUCCCUAUUUGUAAAAGUUUCACUUGUAUUUUGGAGUGAAAUAUAU
rnacentral:lncRNA from 1 species